CCUACGGGGGGCUGCAGUGGGGAAUAUUGGACAAUGGGGGGAACCCUGAUCCAGCCAUGCCGCGUGUGUGAAGAAGGCCCUCGGGUUGUAAAGCACUUUCAGUGAGGAAGAACGCCUGGUGGUUAAUACCCAUCAGGAAAGACAUCACUCACAGAAGAAGCACCGGCUAACUCCGUGCCAGCAGCCGCGGUAAUACGGAGGGUGCGAGCGUUAAUCGGAAUUACUGGGCGUAAAGCGCGCGUAGGUGGCUUGAUAAGCCGGUUGUGAAAGCCCCGGGCUCAACCUGGGAACGGCAUCCGGAACUGUCAAGCUAGAGUGCAGGAGAGGAAGGUAGAAUUCCCGGUGUAGCGGUGAAAUGCGUAGAGAUCGGGAGGAAUACCAGUGGCGAAGGCGGCCCUCUGGACUGACACUGACACUGAGGUGCGAAAGCGUGGGUAGCAAACAGGAUUAGAUACCCUAGUAGUC
rnacentral:rRNA from 1 species